CACGUAGGCGGCCUGGUAAGUCAGAUGUGAAAGCCCGAGGCUUAACCCCGGAAGUGCAUUUGAUACUGUCAGGCUUGAGUAUGGGAGAGGGAAGUGGAAUUCCUGGUGUAGAGGUGAAAUUCGUAGAUAUCAGGAGGAACACCGGUGGCGAAGGCGACUUCCUGGACCAAUACUGACGCUGAGGUGCGAAGGCGUGGGUAGCAAACA
rnacentral:rRNA from 1 species